AUUGAACGCUGGCGGCAUGCCUUACACAUGCAAGUCGAACGGCAGCACGGGUGCUUGCACCUGGUGGCGAGUGGCGAACGGGUGAGUAAUAUAUCGGAACGUACCUUAUUGUGGGGGAUAACGCAGCGAAAGCUGUGCUAAUACCGCAUAAUCCCUAAGGGGGAAAGCGGGGGACCGUAAGGCCUCGCGCAAUUAGAGCGGCCGAUACCUGAUUAGCUAGUUGGUGAGGUAAAGGCUCACCAAGGCAACGAUCAGUAGCUGGUCUGAGAGGACGAUCAGCCACACUGGGACUGGGAAACGGCCCAGACUCCUACGGGAGGCAGCAGUGGGGAAUUUUGGACAAUGGGGGCAACCCUGAUCCAGCAAUGCCGCGUGAGUGAAGAAGGCCUUCGGGUUGUAAAGCUCUUUUGUCAGGGAAGAAACAGCAGCUCUAACACAGUAUGCGAAUGACGGUACCUGAAGAAUAAGCACCGGCUAACUACGUGCCAGCAGCCGCCGUAA
rnacentral:rRNA from 1 species